rnacentral:rRNA from 1 species
UUGGAGGGCAAGUCUGGUGCCAGCAGCCGCGGUAAUUCCAGCUCCAAUAGCGUAUAUUAAAGUUGUUGCAGUUAAAAAGCUCGUAGUUGAACCUUGGGUCUGGCUGGUCGGUCCGCCUCACCGCGAGUACUGAUCCGGCUGGACCUUUCCUUCUGGGGAACCUCAUGGCCUUCACUGGCUGUGGGGGGAACCAGGACUUUUACUGUGAAAAAAUUAGAGUGUUCAAAGCAGGCCUUUGCUCGAAUACAUUAGCAUGGAAUAAUAGAAUAGGACG